UGCGAAGGGGGCUAGCGUUGUUCGGAAUUACUGGGCGUAAAGGGCUCGUAGGCGGCCAACUAAGUCGGAUGUGAAAUCCCCAGGCUUAACUUGGGAACUGCAUCCGAUACUGGAUGGCUUGAAUCCGGGAGAGGGAUGCGGAAUUCCAGGUGUAGCGGUGAAAUGCGUAGAUAUCUGGAGGAACACCGGUGGCGAAGGCGGCAUCCUGGACCGGCAUUGACGCUGAUGAGCGAAAGCCAGGGGAGCAAACGGGG
rnacentral:rRNA from 1 species